UACGUAGGGGGCUAGCGUUGUCCGGAUUUAUUGGGCGUAAAGAGCGUGUAGGCGGCCAGGUAGGUCUGCUGUGAAAACUCGAGGCUCAACCUCGAGACGUCGAUGGAAACCAUCUGGCUAGAGUCCGGAAGAGGAGAGUGGAAUUCCUGGUGUAGCGGUGAAAUGCGCAGAUAUCAGGAAGAACACCUAUGGCGAAGGCAGCUCUCUGGGACGGUACUGACGCUGAGACGCGAAAGCGUGGGGAGCGAACAGG
rnacentral:rRNA from 1 species